AGAGUUUGAUCCUGGCUCAGGACGAACGCUGGCGGCGUGCCUAAUACAUGCAAGUCGAGCGGACUGAUGGGAGCUUGCUCCCUGAAGUUAGCGGCGGACGGGUGAGUAACACGUGGGUAACCUGCCUGUAAGAUUGGGAUAACUCCGGGAAACCGGAGCUAAUACCGGAUAACAUUUUGAACCGCAUGGUUUAAAAUUGAAAGACGGCUUUGGCUGUCACUUACAGAUGGACCCGCGGCGCAUUAGCUAGUUGGUGAGGUAACGGCUCACCAAGGCAACGAUGCGUAGCCGACCUGAGAGGGUGAUCGGCCACACUGGGACUGAGACACGGCCCAGACUCCUACGGGAGGCAGCAGUAGGGAAUCUUCCGCAAUGGACGAAAGUCUGACGGAGCAACGCCGCGUGAACGAUGAAGGCCUUCGGGUCGUAAAGUUCUGUUGUUAGGGAAGAACAAGUACCAGAGUAACUGCUGGUACCUUGACGGUACCUAACCAGAAAGCCACGGCUAACUACGUGCCAGCAGCCGCGGUAAUACGUAGGUGGCAAGCGUUGUCCGGAAUUAUUGGGCGUAAAGCGCUCGCAGGCGGUUUCUUAAGUCUGAUGUGAAAGCCCACGGCUCAACCGUGGAGGGUCAUUGGAAACUGGGGAACUUGAGUGCAGAAGAGGAGAGUGGAAUUCCACGUGUAGCGGUGAAAUGCGUAGAGAUGUGGAGGAACACCAGUGGCGAAGGCGACUCUCUGGUCU
rnacentral:rRNA from 1 species